rnacentral:rRNA from 1 species
UACGAAGGGGGCUAGCGUUGCUCGGAAUCACUGGGCGUAAAGCGCACGUAGGCGGACUCUUAAGUCAGGGGUGAAAUCCUGGAGCUCAACUCCAGAACUGCCUUUGAUACUGGGAGUCUUGAGUUCGGGAGAGGUGAGUGGAACUGCGAGUGUAGGGGUGAAAUUCGUAGAUAUUCGCAAGAACACCAGUGGCGAAGGCGGCUCACUGGCCCGAUACUGACGCUGAGGUGCGAAAGCGUGGGGAGCAACAGGG